rnacentral:miRNA from 1 species
UUGAAACACUCUCUACUGAACC